rnacentral:lncRNA from 1 species
GGUACUUCUACAUUGCAAAAGAGAAAAUGUAUUAUUUACACUCAGUUAUGAAGAAUGUGAAAAUUUUCUCAAAGUCGAGGUAGAUAAUGUUGUAAAAGUACCUCCAUGCAUUCCAGAGCGUAUAUAUCUCUGGUCAACUUCAUUUUACUGAUGUGUUUUUAAGGAAUGGGCAGCAAAAAUAAACAAGAUCUGCCAGGUAUGUUCUUAUGAAACAUUGAUAGUGACAUGGUUCUCUCCCAUCCAGAGUAAACUGAAUGGGAUAAAUGAGCUAUUCUUGGUGAAUGGUGAGGAGGGGAUGGAAUGAUCAUCUCUCUUUUUUUUCUUUAUUGGAUUUAAGAAGAUUUUUGGGCUAUCUGACUAUUCCGAUGAGACAGUUUUCUCAAGGGUACCCUGGAAAAUGAGGCAAUAAGGGGGGGCACUGAAGCUAUUUCAUUGUCCCUAUGUAUAUACUAAGAAGUAUGACCAACUCUCAGUCAUCCGUAACAGUGUAGUGUAGACAGUGAGUUCAGGAUGAACUAGAAAAAUAUAAAAAACUGAUGUCAGAUCUUCAUGUUUGAGAUAGAGAAAAUAUAACAAUGCUUUAUGAAUAAGGGGAGUGAGAA